rnacentral:tRNA from 1 species
GCAACGGGUUUUGGUCCCGUUACUCGGAGGUUCGAAUCCUUCCGUCCCAGA